rnacentral:rRNA from 1 species
UACGUAGGGUGCAGGCGUUAAUCGGAAUUACUGGGCGUAAAGCGUGCGCAGGCGGUUUGCUAAGACAGGUGUGAAAGCCCUCGGCUCAACCGGGGAAGUGCACCCGAAACUGCAAAGCUAGAGUCUCGUAGAGGAUCGUGGAAUUCUCGGUGUAGAGGUGAAAUUCGUAGAUAUCGAGAGGAACACCGGUGGCGAAGGCGGCGAUCUGGACGAUGACUGACGCUGAGACGCGAAAGCGUGGGGAGCAAACAGG